GACGAACGCUGGCGGCGUGCCUAAUACAUGCAAGUCGAGCGGACCAAAGGGAGCUUGCUCCUGGAGGUUAGCGGCGAACGGGUGAGUAACACGUGGGCAACCUGCCUGUAAGACUGGGAUAACAUCGAGAAAUCGGUGCUAAUACCGGAUAAUAAAAAGAACUGCAUGGUCUUUUUGAAAGAUGGUUUCGGCUAUCACUUACAGAUGGGCCCGCGGCGCAUUAGCUAGUUGGUGAGGUAACGGCUCACCAAGGCAACGAUGCGUAGCGACCUGAGAGGUGAUCGGCACACUGGGACUGAGACACGGCCCAGACUCCUAC
rnacentral:rRNA from 1 species